rnacentral:rRNA from 1 species
AACGAACGCUGGCGGCAGGCCUAACACAUGCAAGUCGAGCGGACACUUCGGGGUUAGCUGCGGACGGCGGGGUAACGCGGGGGGACGUGCCCUUUGCUUCGGAAUAGCUCUGGGAAACUGGGAUUAAUGCCGGAUACGCCCUUAUGGGGAAAGAUCUCUCGGGGCAGGGUCGGCCCGCGUUGGAUUAGGUGGUUGGUGGGGGAAUGGCGGACCAAGCCGUGGAUCCAUAGCUGGUUGGGGAGGAGGACACGCCGCGCUGGGACUGCGACACGGCCCAGACUCCUACGGGAGGGAGCAGUGGGGAAUCUUAGACGAUGGGGGAAACCCUGAUCUAGCCACGCCGGGUGAGCGAUGAAGGGCUUAGGGUUGUAAAGCCGCUUCAGCGGGGAAGAGAAUGACGGUACCGGGAGAAGAAGCCCCGGCUAACUCCGUG